rnacentral:rRNA from 1 species
UUGAACGCUGGCGGCAGGCCUAACACAUGCAAGUCGAGCGGAUGAAGGGAGCUUGCUCCUGGAUUCAGCGGCGGACGGGUGAGUAAUGCCUAGGAAUCUGCCUGGUAGUGGGGGAUAACGUCCGGAAACGGGCGCUAAUACCGCAUACGUCCUGUGGGAGAAAGUGGGGGAUCUUCGGACCUCACGCUAUCAGAUGAGCCUAGGUCGGAUUAGCUAGUUGGUGGGGUAAAGGCCUACCAAGGCGACGAUCCGUAACUGGUCUGAGAGGAUGAUCAGUCACACUGGAACUGAGACACGGUCCAGACUCCUACGGGAGGCAGCAGUGGGGAAUAUUGGACAAUGGGCGAAAGCCUGAUCCAGCCAUGCCGCGUGUGUGAAGAAGGUCUUCGGAUUGUAAAGCACUUUAAGUUGGGAGGAAGGGCAGUAAGUUAAUACCUUGCUGUUUUGACGUUACCAACAGAAUAAGCACCGGCUAACUUCGUG